rnacentral:rRNA from 1 species
CCUACGGGAGGCAGCAGUGGGGAAUGUUGCGCAAUGAGCGAAAGAGUGACGCAGCGACGCCGCGUGAAGGACGAAGGCCUUCGGGACGUAAAGUUCUGUCGACAGGGAAGAAAAUGCCUAUAAGUAACUGUGUAUGUAUUGACGGUACCUGUAUAAGCAGCCCCGGCUAACUCCGUGCCAGCAGCCGCGGUAAUACGGAGGGGGCGAGCGUUGUUCGGAGUGACUGGGCGUAAAGAGCACGUAGGCGGUGUUGUAAGUCAUUAGUCAAAGACUAGAGCGCAACUUUAGUAAGGCUAGUGAUACUCUCAUACUAGAGUAUCAGAGAGGAUUGCUGAAUUCCUGGUGUAGCGGU